UACGUAGGGUGCAAGCGUUGUCCGGAAUUAUUGGGCGUAAAGAGCUCGUAGGCGGUCUGUCGCGUCGAAUGUGAAAAUCCGGGGCUCAACCCCGGACCUGCAUUCGAUACGGGCAGACUAGAGUUCGGUAGGGGAGUCUGGAAUUCCUGGUGUAGCGGUGAAAUGCGCAGAUAUCAGGAGGAACACCGGUGGCGAAGGCGGGACUCUGGGCCGAUACUGACGCUGAGGAGCGAAAAGCGUGGGGGAGCAAAACAGG
rnacentral:rRNA from 1 species